rnacentral:misc_RNA from 1 species
UUUCCGUAGGUGAACCUGCGGAAGGAUCAUUACCAAAUCCCAAUACGCAACCCCCAUGUGACCUAGUGUUUGUUGUCCUUGGUGGGAAGAAAGAAUAAAGUGCUUUUUUUUUCUUUACGAGGACUUCCCCCCAACAGAAUCCGGCACUCCUGUGUUUCGUGAUUUUUUUUAAACCACAUUUUUUUUUUUUGGAAUGACUUUUUUAUUUAAUUAAUAAAAAGACAACUUUUAACGGUGGAUCUCUUGGCUCGU